rnacentral:rRNA from 1 species
AGUGAACGCUGGCGGUAGGCCUAACGCAUGCAAGUCGAACGGCAGCACAGUAAGAGCUUGCUCUUACGGGUGGCGAGUGGCGGACGGGUGAGGAAUACAUCGGAAUCUACUUUUUCGUGGGGGAUAACGUAGGGAAACUUACGCUAAUACCGCAUACGACCUACGGGUGAAAGCAGGGGAUCUUCGGACCUUGCGCGAUUGAAUGAGCCGAUGUCGGAUUAACUAGUUGGCGGGGUAAAGGCCCACCAAGGCGACGAUCCGUAGCUGGUCUGAGAGGAUGAUCAGCCACACUGGAACUGAGACACGGUCCAGACUCCUACGGGAGGCAGCAGUGGGGAAUAUUGGACAAUGGGCGCAAGCCUGAUCCAGCCAUACCGCGUGGGUGAAGAAGGCCUUCGGGUUGUAAAGCCCUUUUGUUGGGAAAGAAAAGCAGCAGGUUAAUACCCCGCUGUUCUGACGGUACCCAAAGAAUAAGCACCGGCGAACUUCGU